ensembl:lncRNA
UGCCACGCGACCUGCACGCUGGGCGCUGCGGGGCACCACAGCCUUGCCUUCCCUCCCGGGAGGGCCUGUGGUCCAGACCCCGCCCAGCCAGCCUCGCUUGCUCACCCUCCAGAAUUCCCAGACGGAGAGUGCCACCCACCGCCUAGAGCCCGGCCCAUACCGUGCCCUCCAAGACCAGCUCCGAGAGCACCCCCCACGGUGGGUGCCCUGCUCAGAGGUCCUGUCGCCCUCCGGCCCCUGUGCCGCGUCCCCACCGGCUUCAGGACCGCCUGCCUCGCCGCUUCCACUGCUCUGCUGAAAAGCGUUCAGCCACCACCCCCCCUCUGCCUCCUAGAGGCCCCACCCUGAGGAGCUCCUGGGAGGAACUGGAGAGCAGGCCUGGGUGUGGCCCCCACCCAGAGCUCCGUCCCCCGCAGGGAUGACAACCAUAGUCACAGCCUCCACUGGGCGCCCCAGCCUGCCUCUUGCCCCAGGCCUCGCCUUCGCCCUGGCCCUGCACCUAUGAAGCCCAGGCUGGGGUCUCCACAACCGGCUUCCUGACUCUGAACACAGCCUCUGGAGAUCAGAGGUGUGCUGACUGCCUGUCCUGUUCACCCUGGCCGACACCUCUGUGACCCCCCAGGACCCACGGGGCCCCCAGGGCCUCUCCUCCCGUCUGUCUUUGCCCCUGUCACACUGGAUCCACUGGCCUCUGUCUGCCCAGGGCCCAGGCCGCCCACCCUCGUCCCUCACGGCUCUCACACUCCCAUCUGCCUGUCAGCAAUCCUGGAGUCUCCCCCACGCCUGCUCACACCCUCAGGGCUUCCCUGCGGCCCCCUUCUGGGGAUCUGAGGGCCUCUUGGGUGCCACAGGCGAGAUUCAGAGAGGGCAGAGGCCUGGGUCACACAGCCGGGCUUGGUGGGC